rnacentral:rRNA from 1 species
GAUGAACGCUGGCGGCGUGCCUAAUACAUGCAAGUCGAGCGAACGGACGAGAAGCUUGCUUCUCUGAUGUUAGCGGCGGACGGGUGAGUAACACGUGGAUAACCUACCUAUAAGACUGGGAUAACUUCGGGAAACCGGAGCUAAUACCGGAUGAUAUUUUGAACCGCAUGGUUCAAAAGUGAAAGACGGUCUUGCUGUCACUUAUAGAUGGAUCCGCGCUGCAUUAGCUAGUUGGUAAGGUAACGGCUUACCAAGGCAACGAUGCAUAGCCGACCUGAGAGGGUGAUCGGCCACACUGGAACUGAGACACGGUUCAGACUCCUACGGGAGGCAGCAGUAGGGAAUCUUCCGCAAUGGGCGAAAGCCUGACGGAGCAACGCCGCGUGAGUGAUGAAGGUCUUCGGAUCGUAAAACUCUGUUAUUAGGGAAGAACAUAUGUGUAAGUAACUGUGCACAUCUUGACGGUACCUAAUCAGAAAGCCACGGCUAACUACGUG